GCCUGAUUAUUUAAACACAGCUUUUCUUGUCCCUGGAACCCUUCUCCACCCUCAGCCUCUAGGAUUGUGUUGCUCCGUAAACAUCAGAAGUAGGCCUCAAAAGACAUCAGUUCCCAAACUUUUCUGCACAUUAGAAUCACCUGGGAAAUUUUAGCUCUCUUAUGGUCAGGUCACGCCCUAUGCCAAUUAAGUCAGAAUGUCUUCGGGUGGGGGCCAGGCACCCAGAGUUUUUAAUGAUCCCCAGGUGAUUCUAACUUACAGUAAAGAUCGAGAAUCACCAAUACAGAGCUGGGUUGAUAGGAAUGAGAGCCUGUGGCAGAUGGAACAAACUCCGUGGAGGGUGGGUCCAGCCCUGCCUUCAGAGCUGGGAAGAAGAGGAGGCCCAGGAGCCCCAGAGGUGCCCAGGCUCUCCCAGCCACACAGCAGCGAUGCGGUGGUCUUCGGAGGCUGGCUCAGAAGACAGCCCCCCUCACGGCAGAGGGCACUGGUUCCUGGCAGGGCCUCUCAGGAGCCCAGGGCAAGCAGUAGCCAGCACUGUCUCCUUGAGGGCCCAGCCCUGACUCCUGGCCUCAGCUGGGAGCGCAGCCACACAAGGGGGAAGAAAUCUGACAAGGCAAGUUAAUUGGGGUGAAAAGAAGCAUUUGCAGAAUGAGUUCAAUCAAGAGAUUGAAAGGGUUCAGAAUGGAGAGGGAAAAGGGCUCACUUUAGAAACUGAAGGUAGACUGGCAGAGAGGACGUCAUUGCCUGAGAUCCAUGUUUGUGAAUUCACCAAGUGAACUACAAUUUAACUCUACUGUGGCAAAGGAAGUAGACAAAGUUCACUGAACUGUAAGUGAACACAGCUCUUCUUUGAACAACAAAAAAGUUCAUCCUUGUAUUGUCUUUUCACAGGAGAAACUGAAAAUUAUUGCCGUAUUAUAGGAUACUCUUCCUUGGCAGGAAUCUAACCUUGCCAGUCUGGAUCAUCUUAAGAAAAAAUACCUGUCAAUUCUCAAGAGAAAAUGCUCUUGUGCUUAAGUCUAAAGCCACCUCCACAUUCCUUAGCUGAAUCUGGUACCAUGAGGAUUCCUAACGAAAAUGAGGGAUUUGCCCUGCUGUUCUCGAGGAUCUACACCAGAUCAGUCAAGAGAAGACAUCAGGGCCGGGGGUUUAGCUCAGUGGUUCCACUGCCUGCCUCGCAAGUGCAAGGUCCAGAGUUCAAUCCCCGUACCAAAAGAAAAAAAAAAAAGAGAGAGAGAGAAGACAUCAGUCUACAAGCUACACUCCGCAGCCUAGAAUCCUGACAAUAAACAGUAGCUGUGGCUUUAAUCUUAAAUUGCAAUAGCAUCAAACUUUCAGCAUUUUAAACAUAUAUUAAUGGAGCUACCUUACCUUUCAAGGCCCACCACUGAGCUUCCUCUUCCCUUCCAUUCUCUCAAAUUUGUGGCCCACCCUCAGAUGCCCACCACAGUUACUUGUUUAGAUAUGAACCACAAAUCCCAAGUAAAAGUAAACUUUGCCAACCAGGAAUAUUCUGUUUUACCCAAAGCUCCAAAUAGUUUUGACUCUUUGUGGGAUGUUUUUUUGGCUGUUCUGGUUUUCAAAUUUGUUUUCUCAAGCACAAUAUCCAGAGAGGGUUUGCAGUAAAAGAAUGAGAAAACCAAUCAGUGGAAACCAUCUGUGUAACUGAGGGCUACAGCUCUAAAUAAAAACCACUUUAUCAACAAAUGAAAUGGCAGAAAGGGGAGUGGAUCUUAUUUGAAAGCAAGAGUAAACACAAAUACAGAAUGAAAAGCAGUUUAGAAAGGUAUGGGGGAAAAAAUCUACACCAGGUAACACUGGAGGAUGCAGGCUACAUUUGCCACUGGAGAAAUGUUCUCUCACAUCUAAAUUCGGGCAGUUUGGAAGAGUAGCAGCUUCUUCCUUCUCUACUCCCUGGAGUAGGAAGCACUUCUCUGCCUGCUGCAAUGGAGACAGAAGGCAGCAUUUCUCUUGCCCAGCAGAUCCCAUUCUCUUCUCCCACCUAGCUGCACAGAAUCACUGUAACGACUCAGGGAUGGUGCUGACAACGUGGGUAGCCUCUGUGGCUGCUGGAGGGGAACCAAAGAAGGUGCUGGUUUGAUUCCUCUGCUGAUCUCGGAGGUAAGGAGGAACAGAGGAGCUUUUGAUGUGGAGGAUCCGGGUGUCCAUCACCUGGCAGUCAAUCUGCAUCAUCACUUCAUAAUCCUGCCCAUUGAUCACAUUUUCUGCAGAGGGGAAUAUACAUGGGAAUAAAUAAAUAUUCAACAGCACGUACAUCUCUGUUAUAAGCUUCAAUUCCAGAAGGACACGAGUGUCAUCUAAGGGUGUGAAUGGUUGGUACACUUUCAAGGGUGAGGAGGAACUUUAUCAAUCACUAUGCAGAGCUGCAGCAGGACUGGGGCCCAAGAUGGCCUGUCUUCUCAGUUCUAGUUCCCUGACUACCUUUGCUGGCUCAUAAGAGAUGGAGCCACUACCAUAGUUCAUGCCACAGAACAUCUGUCCACAGACAUUGUGUUUCUUGUAUGUUUUUCAUACAGUGAAUUGCCAUGAUACGAGCAACUGAAACAGAAAGGGAUUUUAGUGCCCAGCAGAGGUAAGAAUACUUAAGCCCCCUUCCUUCCCUUCAACAAUGGGAAGGAACAAUGUUUAAAGGACCAACCAUGUGGAUAGUGAGGAGACCUUGGCCUAUACUGCUUAGCUCCUAUUCAUCAGUAAAAUUUCUAACUUCAGUAGGACACUCCACUUGUAAGGCCUUAGGGGCACUGGGUACAGUGAUGUGACAAGAAGUCACAGACAUCUGACAAUUAUGUUCUUUCCCAGAGAUCACUAUUAUAUCUAGUACAAAAUGACAGGUACUGGUAGAUUUCCAAUAUGAGAUUAAAGGAAGUGCUACAGGACUGGCAUCUGUGGGAGGAAACAGGGAAGCCAUGCAUAGUCAUGCUUAACAUAAAUGGAGCUAGAUAGAGAUACAUACUAUACUCCCUUCUUACUUCCCAAGAGGAUGAGAGCUUUCUAUUUAGGGAGAAGGCCAAAUUAUGCCCUGAUUUAUAAUUCUGGGUGGUCAUUUUUCAAUUUUCUGUCAAUGAAACUAGGGCAUAGAACUGAUGAGACAAUUACAAACAUAUAAUAUUUUCCAAGCCCAGCUGAAUAAUCACAGCAAUACAGUUAGAAGCUAUGAACUUCGAAAAAUGCUGGAGAGUCAACGUGGCAUAAGAUUUUGUAUUUUCAUCCAUGAAUCUGGGGCUGCAUGUGCAGAUGGUCCAGUCCUGUACAACCUUUCUCUGAUGAUGAUAUGAAGUCA
rnacentral:lncRNA from 1 species